rnacentral:rRNA from 1 species
UGAGGAAUAUUGCACAAUGGAGGGAACUCUGAUGCAGCGACGCCGCGUGAACGAAGAAGGCUUUCGAAUCGUAAAGCUCUGUCCUAUGAGAAGAUAAUGACGGUAUCAUAGGAGGAAGCCCCGGCUAAAUACGUGCCAGCAGCCGCGGUAAUACGUAUGGGGCGAGCGUUGUCCGGAAUUAUUGGGCGUAAAGGGUACGUAGGCGGUCUAUUAAGUCAGGUGUGAAAGCGUGAGGCUUAACCUCAUUAAGCACUUGAAACUGAUAGACUUGAGUGAAGGAGAGGAAAGUGGAAUUCCUAGUGUAGCGGUGAAAUGCGUAGAUAUUAGGAGGAAUACCGGUGGCGAAGGCGACUUUCUGGACUUUUACUGACGCUCAGGUACGAAAGCGUGGGGAGCAAACAGG